rnacentral:rRNA from 1 species
AGAGUUUGAUCCUGGCUCAGGACGAACGCUGGCGGCGUGCCUAACACAUGCAAGUCGAACGGAGAAUUUCGAAGAGUUUACUCAGGGAAAUUUUUAGUGGCGGACGGGUGAGUAACGCGUGGGUAACCUACCCAUAAAGCUGGGACAACCCUUGGAAACGAGGGCUAAUACCGGAUAAUCUUGAGACGUGGCAUCACGUUUCAAGGAAAGAUGGCCUCUGAAGAUGCUAUCGAUUAUGGAUGGACCCGCGUCUGAUUAGCUAGUUGGCGGUGUAACGGACCACCAAGGCGACGAUCAGUAGGGGUUCUGAGAGGAAGGUCCCCCACACUGGCACUGAGAUACGGGCCAGACUCCUACGGGAGGCAGCAGUAGGGAAUAUUGGGCAAUGGACGAGAGUCUGACCCAGCCAUGCCGCGUGCAGGAAGAAGGCGUUCUGCGUUGUAAACUGCUUUUAUCUGGGAAGAAAAGGCCCAUGCGUGGGACAUUGCCGGUACCAGAUGAAUAAGCACCGGCUAACUCCGUGCCAGCAGCCGCGGUAAUACGGAGGGUGCAAGCGUUGUCCGGAUUUAUUGGGUUUAAAGGGUGCGUAGGCGGUUGAUUAAGUCAGCGGUGAAAGUUUUGGGCUCAACCCAGAAAUUGCCAUUGAUACUGGUCGACUUGAGUAUUGCAGGGGUACAUGGAAUUGAUGGUGUAGCGGUGAAAUGCAUAGAUACCAUCAGGAACACCGAUAGCGAAGGCAUUGUACUGGGCAACCACUGACGCUGAUGCACGAAAGCAUGGGGAGCGAACAGGAUUAGAUACCCUGGUAGUCC